rnacentral:rRNA from 1 species
UACGUAGGGGGCAAGCGUUGUCCGGAUUUACUGGGCGUAAAGAGCGUGUAGGCGGCCACGCAGGUCCGUUGUGAAAACUGGAGGCUCAACCUUCAGACGUCGACGGAAACCGUGUGGCUAGAGUCCGGAAGAGGAGAGUGGAAUCCUGGUGUAGCGGUGAAAUGCGCAGAUAUCAGGAAGAACACCAAUGGCGAAGGCAGCUCUCUGGGACGGUACUGACGCUGAGACGCGAAAGCGUGGGGAGCGAACAGG